rnacentral:lncRNA from 1 species
CAAGGCACACCAUCCUUCCAUAGAUUUUUCACGUCUUUACACGUCAAGUCGUCAUCUGAUUCUUUGUAACAAACUUGCCAUAAUCCACCAUGAUAACUAUAACCAGCACCAGACUGGCUAUACCAGUAUGGCAAAUAAGAUGCUACUCCAUGGGCAACAAAGCCAAUUAAGGACAUCAAAAACCCAACAACAACAAGUCCUCUGUGUUUCCUUCGCUCCAUUUGUCAAGAAUAAUCUGAUCAAACUAUAGUUGUUGCGUCUACACUUUGCUUACGUUUUCUAAAAACACUCCUUCCUGCUUUCCGUUCUUAGCCCUAGUAAUUAGUCCAUAGCCCACAUUUUUAAAGGUUUGUAUAAUUACAAGAAAAACAGAGGAUCCCGAUGGGUAUUUAAACCAUAAAAAAGGAGUCGUGUGUUGUCAUAUUUUUGCUAACAAAGCGUGGUUACAAGACAUGUAUUUUA